AUAUAUUAUUAUCAGACGUCGUACACGCCUGUGAACACAUUCUAUCGAACUGAGUCAUUGAAAUAACAUAGAACCAAGCUUUUGAGGCGAGCGAUCGCCUCUGAUAAUCAGCUCGGAACUACAGGUGGUGCACAAGUGUGAAGGACGGGAUGUGAACAAGCGUGCACAUGCUCCUGAAAGGAGCCAGCAGCAGCCUGCUUCAACAACUCGGUAAUGAUCCUUCCGCAGGUUCACCUACGGAAA
rnacentral:misc_RNA from 1 species